UAUAGCUUCUACUCAAUGGGAAUAGAAUGAGUGAAAAAGUCCAAUAUGACUCUACCAAAGUAAGUAAUAUAUCUUUUACCACUAAGUCAAGAUAAGCCAUUAUAUUCUUAAUUGUCAUCCAUAAUUGUCACAAGAAUUGAAAAAAAUUUUCAACUUGUAAUUAUUAUUAUUAUAAGAUAAUUUUACCAAUAAUGAUUAAGUGGAUAAAAAAUAGCAAAAACUACUCAUCAUGAAUUCAACUGUUUAAUGUCUCAAGUCAAGUACUUGAAUGUGAAAAUCCAAAUCUAAAGAAAUUAUUAUUAUUAUUAGCAUAAGAGGGAUAUGAUUUAGGCCGUUUAGGGAUAUUAAUAUAAUUUAACUAUAGUGUGAUCUAGAGAAUGAUAUUAAAUAGUAAGAUCAAGUAAAAAUUAAGAAGAAAAAGGGCGGACCAUGCAAUGAAGAAGAU
rnacentral:misc_RNA from 1 species